GAGUCCUAAUUAGACUAUAUUUUAAAUGAUAGAGCAAGGAAAACUGAAAUUCGGGCUAAAAUGGGGAAAAUACCAAGUGGUGGACGAAAUGGUAAAAAUAGCCAUUUUCGCAUACGAGUGUUGACAAGCCAGCUCGGAAAUCGGAAACGGUCGGAGGCACGCUCACAUUAUCCGUAUACCAUCUUGGCAUAAUGGCUUGUAUAUUUUGAGUAUGGCAUGUAUAGCAUUAUAAUCAUUUUGUAUAUAUGGUCUUAUGAUAUGGUUAUUGAGUUGUAUGGAAAUAGAAAUGCUUGGUAAUGAUUAGCCAUUGGAAUGGCUAAUCAUGAUCAUAUUUGGUAUUAUGUAUGUCAAA